rnacentral:tRNA from 5 species
UGGAGCAUCCAGAGGGAAUCGAACCCUCAACCUCAGUUUGGAAGACUGUAAUUUUCCCGUUUAAACUAUGGAUGC